rnacentral:lncRNA from 1 species
GAGUUGAAUGGUGAUAGUCCCAUGUCUCAACGACUUCCGGUUCUUAAGUUUGGUAUUGCAUCAUAUAUUUGAUGAUUAAUUGUGACCUUGGUGAACUUUGAAAUUGUCCCAAUUCUUUUUCUAUAAUGUUGUCCUUUAACUGCAGAUCAUUUACCAUUUAACAGAUUUGAGAUAUCUAUUGUCGUUUUAGAGAUAAUGCAGUUUGAAAUUUUGCAAGCAACAGCAUGUAUUUCAGAAUCAACAACAGCUUACCACUUAAAAUGUUUAAGAAAUUGAAGAGGUAAACAUAGUUAUAUGUUUGACCAAAUACCAAAAACAUUCCAUGGAAAAAAAC